rnacentral:rRNA from 1 species
AACGUAGGACACAAGCGUUUAUCCGGAGUUACUGGGCGUAAAGGGCGUGUAGGCGGAUCGGUAAGUCUACUCUGAAAGCUCCUGGCUAAACUGGGAGAGGCGAGUGGAGACUGUCGGUCUAGAGUGAGGAAGAGGAAAGUGGAAUUCCGCGUGUAGUGGUGAAAUGCGUAGAGAUGCGGAGGAACACCAGUGGCGAAAGCGGCUUUCUGGUCCUUAACUGACGCUGAGGCGGCGGAAAGCGUGGGGAGCAAACAGGG